GGGGGUGGGGUCCCGCCCUCCACCUCGUCGCCUGCGGAGAACCCCUACAGCCCCAAUCCUACGAGUCUGGCUGCCAUGCUUGGGGGUCCCUCCAUAGGGGGUCCUGCCCUCCCUCCCCCUCCCCCACUCCUUGGUUCUUCCCUGGGGAGUAACGGCAGUCAGUACAGCUCGACCUUACCCGACGGAGGAGGC